UGCGGAGUAGAGCAGCUUGGCAAGCUUGUAAGGCUCAUAACCUUAAGGUCGCAGGUUCAAAUCCUGCCUCCGCAA
rnacentral:tRNA from 1 species